GUUGGGUAGGGGAGCGUUCUGUAAGCCUGUGAAGGUGGCCUGUGAGGGUUGCUGGAGGUAUCAGAAGUGCGAAUGCUGACAUAAGUAACGAUAAAGCGGGUGAAAAGCCCGCUCGCCGGAAGACCAAGGGUUCCUGUCCAACGUUAAUCGGGGCAGGGUGAGUCGACCCCUAAGGCGAGGCCGAAAGGCGUAGUCGAUGGGAAACGGGUUAAUAUUCCCGUACUUGGUGUUACUGCGAAGGGGGGACGGAGAAGGCUAUGUUGGCCGGGCGACGGUUGUCCCGGUUUAAGCGUGUAGGUGUGUGUUCCAGGUAAAUCCGGUUCACUUUAACACUGAGGCGUGAUGACGAGGCACUACGGUGCUGAAGCAACAAAUGCCCUGCUUCCAGGAAAAGCCUCUAAGCAUCAGGUAACAUCAAAUCGUACCCCAAACCGACACAGGUGGUCAGGUAGAGAAUACCAAGGCGCUUGAGAGAACUCGGGUGAAGGAACUAGGCAAAAUGGUGCCGUAACUUCGGGAGAAGGCACGCUGACACGUAGGUGAAGUGAUUUACUCAUGGAGCUGAAGUCAGUCGAAGAUACCAGCUGGCUGCAACUGUUUAUUAAAAACACAGCACUGUGCAAACACGAAAGUGGACGUAUACGGUGUGACGCCUGCCCGGUGCCGGAAGGUUAAUUGAUGGGGUCAGCGCAAGCGAAGCUCCUGAUCGAAGCCCCGGUAAACGGCGGCCGUAACUAUAACGGUCCUAAGGUAGCGAAAUUCCUUGUCGGGUAAGUUCCGACCUGCACGAAUGGCGUAAUGAUGGCCAGGCUGUCUCCACCCGAGACUCAGUGAAAUUGAACUCGCUGUGAAGAUGCAGUGUACCCGCGGCAAGACGGAAAGACCCCGUGAACCUUUACUAUAGCUUGACACUGAACAUUGAGCCUUGAUGUGUAGGAUAGGUGGGAGGCUUUGAAGCGUGGACGCCAGUCUGCGUGGAGCCGACCUUGAAAUACCACCCUUUAAUGUUUGAUGUUCUAACGUGGACCCGUAAUCCGGGUUGCGGACAGUGUCUGGUGGGUAGUUUGACUGGGGCGGUCUCCUCCUAAAGAGUAACGGAGGAGCACGAAGGUUGGCUAAUCCUGGUCGGACAUCAGGAGGUUAGUGCAAUGGCAUAAGCCAGCUUGACUGCGAGCGUGACGGCGCGAGCAGGUGCGAAAGCAGGUCAUAGUGAUCCGGUGGUUCUGAAUGGAAGGGCCAUCGCUCAACGGAUAAAAGGUACUCCGGGGAUAACAGGCUGAUACCGCCCAAGAGUUCAUAUCGACGGCGGUGUUUGGCACCUCGAUGUCGGCUCAUCACAUCCUGGGGCUGAAGUAGGUCCCAAGGGUAUGGCUGUUCGCCAUUUAAAGUGGUACGCGAGCUGGGUUUAGAACGUCGUGAGACAGUUCGGUCCCUAUCUGCCGUGGGCGCUGGAGAACUGAGGGGGGCUGCUCCUAGUACGAGAGGACCGGAGUGGACGCAUCACUGGUGUUCGGGUUGUCAUGCCAAUGGCACUGCCCGGUAGCUAAAUGCGGAAGAGAUAAGUGCUGAAAGCAUCUAAGUACGAAACUUGCCCCGAGAUGAGUUCUCCCUGAGACUUUAGGUCUCCUGAAGGAACGUUGAAGACGACGACGUUGAUAGGCCGGGUGUGUAAGCGCAGCGAUGCGUUGAGCUAACCGGUACUAAUGAACCGUGAGGCUUAACCUUACAACGCCGAAG
rnacentral:rRNA from 1 species